CUAGUGGUUAGAGUGGAGGGGCGGCAGGGUAGCCUAGUGGUUAGAGUGGAGAGGCGGCAGGGUAGCCUAGUGGUUAGAGUGGAGGGGCGGCAGGGUAGCCUAGUGGUUAGAGUGGAGAGGCGGCAGGGUAGCCUAGUGGUUAGAGUGGAGGGGCGGCAGGGUAGCCUAGUGGUUAGAGUGGAGAGGCGGCAGGUAGCCUAGUGGUUAGAGUGUAGAGGCGGCAGGGUAGCCUAGUGGUUAGAGUGGAGGG